ACACAGAGGAAAUGGAUAGGAAAUAAUAGUGGAGAAUUGGCAACUGAUCAAGAUAUUGGGCAUGCUUUAGGGAGACAUUUUGGUGAGAAACACAAGCAACCUAUCUGUUUCAGCAUAUGCUUUGCUUGCGAAGACCGUGAAGAAUGUUUCAACAUCCGAAGCGUCGGCCAAGAACGUAGUACGAAGUUGAAACCUUCAUAA
rnacentral:lncRNA from 1 species